UACGUAGGGUGCAAGCGUUAAUCGGAAUUACUGGGCGUAAAGCGUGCGCAGGCGGUUAUGUAAGACAGUUGUGAAAUCCCCGGGCUCAACCUGGGAACUGCAUCUGUGACUGCAUAGCUAGAGUACGGUAGAGGGGGAUGGAAUUCCGCGUGUAGCAGUGAAAUGCGUAGAUAUGCGGAGGAACACCGAUGGCGAAGGCAAUCCCCGUGGACCUGUACUGACGCUCAUGCACGAAAGCGUGGGGA
rnacentral:rRNA from 1 species